GACGAACGCUGGCGGCGUGCUUAACACAUGCAAGUCGAACGGAAAGGCCCUGCUUGCAGGGUACUCGAGUGGCGAACGGGUGAGUAACACGUGGGUGUUCUGCCCUGCACUUCUGGAUAAGCCUGGGGAACUGGGUCUAAUACCGCAGAUGAGCCCUCUUUCGUGUUGUUGUUGGAUGGUUUUUUCGGUGUGGGAUGAGCUCGCGGCCUAUCAGCUUGCUUGUGGGGUAAUGGCCUACCAAGGCGGCGACGGGUAGCCGGCCUGGGAGGGUGGACGGCCACAUUGGGGCUGAGAUAAGGCCCAGACUCCUACGGGAGGGAAGAGGGGGGAAUAUUGCACAAUGGGGGGAAGCCUGAUGCAGCGAAGGCGGGUGGGGGAUGAAGGGCCUCGGGUUGUAAACUCCUUUCGGUAGGGAAGAAGCUUUGUGUGACGGUAACGAGAUAAGAAGCACCGGCUAACUACGUG
rnacentral:rRNA from 1 species